UACGUAGGGGGCGAGCGUUGUCCGGAUUUAUUGGGCGUAAAGGGUGCGUAGGCGGCCUUGUAAGUCAGAUGUGAAAUCUCACGGCUUAACCGUGGUAAGCAUUUGAAACUGUGAGGCUUGAGUACAGGAGAGGAGAGUGGAAUUCCUAGUGUAGCGGUGAAAUGCGUAGAUAUUAGGAGGAAUACCAGUGGCGAAGGCGACUCUCUGGACUGUAACUGACGCUGAGGCACGAAAGCGUGGGGAGCAAACAGG
rnacentral:rRNA from 1 species